rnacentral:rRNA from 1 species
GACGAACGCUGGCGGCGUGCUUAACACAUGCAAGUCGAACGGAAAGGCCCUGCUUUUGUGGGGUGCUCGAGUGGCGAACGGGUGAGCAACACGUGAGUAACCUGCCCUUGACUUUGGGAUAACUUCAGGAAACUGGGGCUAAUACCGGAUAGGAGCUCCUGCUGCAUGGUGGGGGUUGGAAAGUUUCGGCGGUUGGGGAUGGACUCGCGGCUUAUCAGCUUGUUGGUGGGGUAGUGGCUUACCAAGGCUUUGACGGGUAGCCGGCCUGAGAGGGUGACCGGCCACACUGGGACUGAGAUGCGGCCCAGACUCCUACGGGAGGCAGCAGUGGGGAAUAUUGCACAAUGGGCGGCAGCCUGAUGCAGCAACGCCGCGUGCGGGAUGACGGCCUUCGGGUUGUAAACCGCUUUCGCCUGUGACGAAGCGUGAGUGACGGUAAUGGGUAAAGAAGCACCGGCUAACUACGUG